rnacentral:rRNA from 1 species
AGAGUUUGAUCCUGGCUCAGGAUGAACGCUAGCUACAGGCUUAACACAUGCAAGUCGAGGGGCAGCAUGGUCUUAGCUUGCUAAGGCCGAUGGCGACCGGCGCACGGGUGAGUAACACGUAUCCAACCUGCCGUCUACUCUUGGACAGCCUUCUGAAAGGAAGAUUAAUACAAGAUGGCAUCAUGAGUCCGCAUGUUCACAUGAUUAAAGGUAUUCCGGUAGACGAUGGGGAUGCGUUCCAUUAGAUAGUAGGCGGGGUAACGGCCCACCUAGUCUUCGAUGGAUAGGGGUUCUGAGAGGAAGGUCCCCCACAUUGGUACUGAGACACGGACCAAACUCCUACGGGAGGCAGCAGUGAGGAAUAUUGGUCAAUGGCCGAGAGGCUGAACCAGCCAAGUCGCGUGAGGGAUGAAGGUUCUAUGGAUCGUAAACCUCUUUUAUAAGGGAAUAAAGUGCGGGACGUGUCCCGUUUUGUAUGUACCUUAUGAAUAAGGAUCGGCUAACUCCGUGCCAGCAGCCGCGGUAAUACGGAGGAUCCGAGCGUUAUCCGGAUUUAUUGGGUUUAAAGGGUGCGUAGGCGGCCUUUUAAGUCAGCGGUGAAAGUCUGUGGCUCAACCAUAGAAUUGCCGUUGAAACUGGGGGGCUUGAGUAUGUUUGAGGCAGGCGGAAUGCGUGGUGUAGCGGUGAAAUGCAUAGAUAUCACGCAGAACCCCGAUUGCGAAGGCAGCCUGCCAAGCCAUUACUGACGCUGAUGCACGAAAGCGUGGGGAUCAAACAGGAUUAGAUACCCUGGUAGUCCACGCAGUAAA